GAUGUCAGCACAAAUGCCAAGUUCAUUAUUUGACAUCACAUGUGAGAAUGUAGGGAAAUAGUGUAAAUUGGACAAAAUUGUAAAAAUGACCGACACAACGAACCAAAUGCCCACUAGCAGCCAACAUUCUCUCUCCCAAAAAGAGUUUGAUUCAACAACGAGUAUAAAGCUGAAGCAGUCUUCAGUUUUCAGCAGCUGCCGUAUUUGCCUGUCUUCUAUCUUCGAUCCUGCUUACUUGACGUGCGGCCACAAGUUCUGUGAGGGCUGUCUAGACCAGUAUUGGCAAGUGAGGGACAAACCUAACUUCCUCAUCUGUCCGUUGUGCCGGGCGUUGGCUUACAAUGUGGAUUUUAUCAAGAAAGGCGACGCCACGGAGCCAGAAGGAGAAUUCCGCAAAAACUUUGGCAUGUUACAAAACAUAGAAGAUUCAGAUCUCAACAAAUCCACAAUCCUGUGCUUCAAGAUUUCAAUGUUGAUACCAGUUUUAUACUACAUCGUGAAGUGGCUCAAAGUACCUGCCAUUGAAUUUGUCUCACUGCUGAGAUGUAAACUGUGGUAUAAAAUGUAAAAAUCUGGCAUGUGCCUUUCUGUUCUAUUGAGUGACAUUAACAUAAAUUAUAUUAUUAGGGUAUGGUAAUAAAAUUGUGUAAUUCAA